UACGAAGGGGGCUAGCGUUGCUCGGAAUUACUGGGCGUAAAGGGCGCGUAGGCGGACAGUUUAGUCAGAGGUGAAAGCCCAGGGCUCAACCUUGGAACUGCCUUUGAUACUGACUGUCUUGAGUUCGGGAGAGGUGAGUGGAAUGCCGAGUGUAGAGGUGAAAUUCGUAGAUAUUCGGCGGAACACCAGUGGCGAAGGCGACUCACUGGACACAUAUUGACGCUGAGGUGCGAAAGCAUGGGGAGCGAACAGG
rnacentral:rRNA from 1 species